UACAGAGGGGGCAAGCGUUGUUCGGAAUUACUGGGCGUAAAGGGCGCGUAGGCGGCCUGUUAAGUCGAACGUGAAAUCCCCGGGCUCAACCCGGGAACUGCGUCCGAUACUGGCAGGCUUGAAUCCGGGAGAGGGAUGCGGAAUUCCUGGUGUAGCGGUGGAAUGCGCAGAUAUCAGGAGGAACACCGAUGGCGAAGGCAGAUCUCUGGGCCGUAACUGACGCUGAGGAGCGAAAGCAUGGGGAGCGAACAGG
rnacentral:rRNA from 1 species